AUUGUUACAGAGAAAAAGCGGGGCCAAAUGAAACGUGAUGGUCUAUGAUUCACAAUGAAAAGUGGUAAAGGAGAGGCGAGACCAUGGCAUAUAACAGGGAAAUAAUUAGUUGAAUUAGAAGAGAAUGGUAGGAACAACAAUGAUUUACAUGAACUCUUGAGUAAUUGUUACAGACAUUGUUAAGAUUCGAUCUAUAUUUAAAUGGGGUUCUGAAAGUUGUUUUACUUUACCUUCCAGACUCAGGUUGGCUGUGCUUGAUACUUGGCCUACAGCAUUACUAGCAACAAACGUCUUCUUCCUUUGGUGAACUGAAUGAGGCACCAGGAUACACAUGAACUGCCACUGGACAUGAACUGCACACAAUAAGUGAGUUAACAGAAACCCGGCAUUGAAAACGGGCUGGCUGCCCUUCAGAAGUGACAGUGUCCUGAAGCGGGGUGAUGAUGGCAGGUGGAUAAACAGGCAUUUCCUGAUCAGGAGACACAACUUCUGGAACUAAAGAAAGAAACCACAAGAUUUGUCAUGAUUAAGUCACCAUAGAGACCUCACAGAAGGGAGCAUGACAUCAAUUCCAGAGUGGGACAGCUCAACCUCAAACACCACAUUUUGAGUUUCUGUACAGGUUGUCUUUUUCCCGUCGAUGACAAAGCUGUAUUCUCCCUGGUCCUCCUUGGUUACAUCCUUGACCGUGAGGUUCUGACGUCCACGACGAGAU
ensembl:lncRNA TTN-AS1 TTN antisense RNA 1